AUUAUUUUGGCAGAAAAAUGUGAUGGUUUUAGAAAUCAUUUAUAUAUAAUUUAUUAUAUAAAUAAUA
rnacentral:tRNA from 1 species